GAGAGAGGACCAGCUGUGGGUUGGGUGAGGAGGGGGCAGCCUCCCCGAUGGAGAGGCCCUGCAUGUGUCCAGUCCCUGAUUUAGAGGAGCUGAGGGUAGCAGGUCCUUGCACCGGACCAGGCGUGUUCCCCUCCCCCUAAGCUUCCUGUCCCCUGACCCCUGACCCAUCUGAUCUGACCAAGGACAGCACCAGGAAGCAGAGAGGUCCAGAGAAGCAGAAGUAGGGAUGGGAAGGGCCUGUCUGAGGAGGUCUGACCCUGUCCCUGCCCGGGGCCUGGCUCUGCUGCAGGUGACAUCCCUGCUGGGGAAAUGACCCCGAGGGCCAGGGCCGGGUGGCUGCCUUCAGCUCUGCUGCUGCUCCAGGUCCCAGGCUGUUUGUCCUUGAGUGGCCCGAGCAGAGUUACGGGCAUCGUGGGGGGAUCGCUGAGCGUGGAGUGUCGGUACCGGGAGGAAUUCAUAAACAAUUCCAAAUACUGGUGCAAAUUCCCGUGUGUGUUAUUGUGGAAGAUCAUGGAGACCAGAGAGUCAGAGAGAGAAGUGAGGAGGGGCCGCGUGUCCAUCAGAGACCAUCCUGCGAGCCUCACCUUCACAGUGACCUUGGAGAGCCUCAGAGAGGAGGAUGCGGGAACAUAUGUAUGUGGGAUUGAUGUGCGAUUUUCAAUUAAUCCCACCUUCCAGGUGGAAGUGUCUGUGAUCCCAGGAGGAAACCCAGAGGGGCCCGUUAGGCAAAGAAGGAUGAGGAAAGUCACUAUGACAACCACCAGCCCCGAGAGGUCCACAAGCACCCCGGAGUCUCCCACGACCCUGCCAGUGCCCACCUGGAGCACCGUGUCUGGGCCGGAGGCCCCUGAUCCCGGCCAAGCUCAUCGCCCUGCUCAUCAGCAUCAUCUUGCUGAAGAGACCUGGCCUCUGAUGGUGCAGAGCUGAGGGGGUCACUCUUUCACCAGCCAAGGGCUUUAAAGGACUGGAGCUUUGGAGACCCUGGGCAGAUACUGGCUGCUCACUGAAUAAGACAGAAGAGUUCCUGUGCUCAAGAAGGCCCCUGCUGGGCAGCAUCCACUUCCUGCUCCUGGUCUUCCUGAAGGUGCCCCUGCUCCUCGGCAUGCUCGGUGCCGUCCUCUGGGUCAACAGGCCUCUGAGGAGCUCUGCAGACAGACGGAGUCGGUCCAUUUAUGAGAACCAGUAGCCCCCGUGUUCAUCGUGUUCUCUUCGAUGAUGCAGUCGGACCACUGAAUGGAAAUGACCUUCUGACUCACCUGUCCUGUAUCACACUCUACCACUCUCUCAGAAUACUGCCUUUGUGGAUUUCCUUGUAGCUUUCUUUCCUUGCCCAUGAUUCUCUGAAACCAAAAGCAUACCUCCUCAAUGGGUGCUUCUGAACUGUGACCACAGAUCAAUAUUGACUUCAGAGCUUUCAGCUCAUCCGCGGAGCAUCACUCAUGCACUGAAGUCUCAGGGGCCCUCUCUGCAGGCUUCAAACCCUAGGAGUGUGGGAAUCUGGCUUUUGGAUCUGUUUUGAUGGAUCCAGGCAGUUCCAUGGUUUCCCACAUGAUCUGUGCUACCAUAAUCACCCACCUUCCACAGGUCUCGGAUCCAGAGUGGGGAAACUUCCAGUUGCUGAAUGUGUCUAUUUAAUUAGGCAUUCUAAACUCAGGAAACAACAAUGCAGAGAGUCGACAGUCCACGGAGCCAGCAUGCAUGGGACCUGAAUCAAGACUCCAUUCUGCAUGAACUUUCACAUCCCACUGUUCUGUCUAAUGGCCCGAAGGACCAUGUGGGAUUCUCCAAUUGGUGUCAGUUCAGAACAGAAUCCAGCAUUGCAUGGAAAACCAGAUUAUUCCCUUCCCCAUGCCCAGUCAAACUGGUUCGUGUGUUUAGGUCCUUUGUGGAUGGCUGGUAGAAAAUAACCAUAUGAAAUUUA